CAUAAAAACAAGUUGUUAUUAUGUGAGGGUGUAGCUGUCAGUAUAAAAGAUGGGUGAGUAAGCAACUGAGCAGCAAAGCGCAAGAAGCUAGCAGCAGUGCUAAGGAGAUUACAGAAACAGCAGUGAUACUGUACUGAAAGAGAUUUGAUUUAAAGGUCUAAAGAAGUUGAUGCAGAAGCCAAGGUCUGCGUGGACAUAACAAACCUGUGUUGAGCUUCAAAAUAUCAUCAAAGCCUCAACUAUAAAAGGUGAUUCUCAUUUUCAUCAGGAGUUAAUACCAGGAAAACCUCAGCUAUUGCUGCCAGCUGGAUCUGACCUCAUCUUGUGACUGGUCUGGCUCUAAAACCACUGACAGUUUUUGGGAUAUGUCACCGGAGCUCUGCAUGAAGAGAAGAGGGUGCAAGACUGUCACAGCGACAUAAUCACAAUUUCAGUGAGAUCUUUCACAAUCACACAGCAACAAAAAUAAAACGAGACUGGCUGAACUUGGGCACCAGAGUAAUUGUAAAUACUCAGGCAUAAGCAGUCAUUAAUUCACUAUGUAUCCAUCCCUUUUACACAGAACGUUUAACACAGUAAGAAUGACUUUUAAAAUACUGUCGCUUAACUUAACAAAUGUCAGGGCCAUUGUUUAGGCUGAAGGGUUAGAGUUUGUUUCAUGUUUAUCACUUGAUAGACUAUUGCGUUUGAGUAGAUUUCACAAGACCAAUAAAAAAAGGUUUCUUAUAUAUUACCUGGAAGAGUGACUAAACUCCAGCUUUGUGUAGUAAUGACCUUUAGCUCCAGUCCUUACAGCUUGGAUUGGUUGCACAACCUCAGCAAGAAUCGCUUCGGAUCAGCAUUCAGGGAUACUCUAUGGUAUCUACAAUAUUCUUGCAAAUCCCACUGUUGGUAGCAGAGCUGUAAGCAAGCUGACACACAUGCUCCUUGAAAAUGCUAUUCCCUUUUGGCACAUGUUCUUCAUCACUCAAGUGUCAAGUUUGCACAAAGGGUAGAUGAUUAAAUUGCUUGUGUGAUAUUUGAAAGAAAUGUUAAUGCGACUAUUCAUACUUCAGAUGAGCAGAGAAAAUUAAUCUGAACCAAAGAAGCAAAGUAUUAAGCUUUCUAUCACCUAUAAAAUUAGCCAAAGAAAAUUUGGACUGUCAUGUACUUAAAAAACACACUAAAUGCAGACAUUUCUAUCUGUCAGAAAUCUCUGAUUUUGAAUAAAUAUUUUGAAUCACACCCUGCUCAAUUAUUUCCAUUUAAAUUGGAAAAUUAUUUUCUAAGAAAUUCUUAACUUGAUACUAUUCAUGUGAUCCUUGUUGGUCUAUAAAGAUUUCUUCCU
rnacentral:lncRNA from 1 species